rnacentral:lncRNA from 1 species
UACAGAUUCAAUCAAAUUUCGAACAUAGAAGCAGAGAUUAAUCUAAGUAAUAUUUCUUUAAUUGGUUCGAUUUGCAAGCAAUUACAAGUCAAAUUCGAAUUGCAACAGCAAUAGAGAAUUCCACCGUGAACCUCAAACGACGACUCGAAAUCGGCAAAUUCAAACUCCGACUCAAUUAAAAUCCAUUUUCUAGUUCUUGUUUCUAUUUUUCUAUCUGAAAAUCAUUGAAAUUUCUCCCCAAUUUUUUGUUCUUCAGCUCCCGUUUCUGCUUGGUGGGGAUUGGUUGGCGGAAUUGGUGGUGGAGUUAAAGAGAUGAAAGGGGUCCUGGUUGAGGUCCGCUCCGGCAGGUUUGGGUGGAAAUGGGCAGCGAGGUGAGAUGGGGUAGGGGAGUUGCUGUUGAUUUUAUCAAUGGUGAAAGGGGUGGGUGUUUGGUUGAAGAAGAAAGCAUAACGGACGGGGUCAUUUAGGGUUCUCGUUGUUGAAG